rnacentral:misc_RNA from 1 species
AUAUAUUUGGGUGGGAAAGAGAUAACAGUGAAGAAAUUUCAGGAACAAGGGCUUCAAUGUCACCAAAGAAAUGUCUAAUGGCAAGGCUUUCUCCCAACCAUACAAUCUCCUUGUAUUGGCUACCACUCCCAAGGCGUCUUCUUACCUGGUAAUCUUUAGACCCAGCCAGGAUUGAACUUGGCAAGAGUUUCCCAUUCUGAUGCUCUGAUCCUUCCAAAUUUUUCAGAAAUAAUUCUAUGAGUUGUCGCUCAUGCUUUGUUGAGCAUGAAAUCUUCUUUUCCUUGAUUUUAUUUAGGAGAAUCCACCUAUCCUCUUUCCAAGCUGUAUCAAAACGUUCACACAAUUCCUGGGUAAUGAGAUACUGCUUUGCGAACCUCCACUGAAAUAGUUGUGGGUCUUUCCAUUGCUUCUGAUACUUGUUUGAGUACACAAGCCUCUUCUUCUGUAUCUCAAGCUCAUCCCACCCUGAAAAUUCUCCAACAGUUUCGAUUGCUUCGAUAACAAUUGGAAUGUAGGUAAGUAAGUUGUGGAUAUAAAACUGGA